CAGCCGCCGCGUAAUACGGAGGGUGCAAGCGUUAAUCGGAAUUACUGGGCGUAAAGCGCACGCAGGCGGUCUGACAAGUCAGAUGUGAAAUCCCCGGGCUUAACCUGGGAACUGCAUUUGAAACUGUCAGGCUGGAGUCUUGUAGAGGGGGGUGGAAUUCCAGGUGUAGCGGUGAAAUGCGUAGAGAUCUGGAGGAAUACCGGUGGCGAAGGCGGCCCCCUGGACAAAGACUGACGCUCAGGUGCGAAAGCGUGGGGAGCAAACAGGAUUAGAGACCCCUGUAGUCCCUGUCUCUUAUACA
rnacentral:rRNA from 1 species